UCAGAUCAAGAUUCUUCCUCGCCAGCUUCAAUACCUCCUCAACGGACCCAGUCAACAGAGGUUGGAUAUUCACAUUCAGAGGAUGCCGAAUCAGAAACUUCAAGGCCUCGAAUAUCACCAGGUUUGUUGUUAGCAUCGCAGACUAGCACCCCACGUCUUACUCCUCCUGGCUCCCCUCCAAGUCUUUCAGCAUCCGUGUCUCCUUCAAGGUCACCAAGACCGCUAUCUCCAAGGAGGCAUUCUAUUUCAUUCUCAACAGUAAGAGGCAUGUAUGAUGACAGAUCUUCAGCAUUUUCUACAUCCUACAACCAGCAUGGCUCGAUG
rnacentral:misc_RNA from 1 species